rnacentral:lncRNA from 7 species
AUGAUAAGGUCUGCUAAUGUGCAAUGUAAGUUUGUGCAUAAAAACAGGAGCACAAGUGCAUAACCUUGGUAUAAGCAAAAUGAUAUUUGUUUAGCCAUGUGUUAUUUUGUGUUAAGCAUAUGCUCUUUUGUCGAUGCAAGUCUGCAAUUAGGGGAUGCGAGUUACAGUGUUGACCUUUGCAAUUAGGGGAUCUCAACUAUGAUGUCCCAACCUACAGUGUUGACCUUUGCAAGCAGAUUGCAAAUCUGCUCUGCAUCAAACAACAAAAAUGUUGUUUUACUCCAUAUUACUGCAUCCCAAGUUGUCAAGCUCCAUAAUGCAUGCAUUUAUAAAAAUCUGAUAUGUUGUAUGUACAUGAACUCUCAUGUUGUUGUCCCCCCUCUUUUCAGAAGUCCAGUGCUAUUACAUAAUUUUUUUUUACCGUGUGCUCUUCUUAGUUUAUGCACCAAAAAAAUUAUUGAUUUUCAUCAACAGGUCUAAAGUCCUGGUUGCACCAUCAGCAAUUGUAGCACACACGGUAACUUUUGUACAUAAAUAUUUCCCUACUAUUCUCCCGACUUACCAAAUUCAUUAUUGGUUCCAAGCAUCUUGAAAGAGAAGUCCAUCGUCUCUCUUACUGUCAUCUCAGCAUGGCUAACAGAAGCACACAGGUACUGUGGUGUUAAAUAAUUCAUUUAUUAUUCAUUGUACAUGACUUUUCCUUUGAACUGUUGUCAAUUGUUGGCCAUUAGAAAAUAUAUACUAUAGUCGAUGAUAACAUAUGCGCAAAGAUUUUAUCGAAUAAUUUUUGUGUUCUCGCAAUGUACGUGCAUUAUAUUAUACUAAUAUAAAGUAGGAGUUUCUCCACCUUCCUUUCAUCGUGCCGCUUCUUGCUAAGGGUGGCGUGAAAAGGUCAGCAACAAGUUCCUCUAUGGUGGCGACAGAGAAGACGGGGGAGGCUCUAGCGACAUUGUGGCGACGACGAGAAGCGAGCAAGGAUAUAAAUUGAUCUGUUUCUUUGGAAAUUAGCUGUAGUAGAAUAUUUACGUGAUACAAAUCUCGUUUGUCUAUAUAUCUAUAUCUAUUACGUUU